ACGCAUCGAUCGGACGCAUCGCUGGAGGAACCUCAAGUUCGAGACAGAGACAAAGAUGAAAACUAACCUCGCCAUCAUGUACUACAUUUUCACCCUUUGUAAAUUUGCACCAACAAAUCCUAUACAACAAAGAAGAAAGCAAGGAAGUUCCUCUCAGGUAGACUGAGCUUCAACUUCAAUCUCUUAGAGCCCCCUAAGAACAGUGGCACUUGGGGUUGUGAGGGACACACCAAUUAGGAUGAGAACUAGGGAAAAUAGCCUUUAGAACUUACUACUUACACCUGAAGGCCCAGCUUGAAGGACAGUUAGGCUGAAAUUUGGGGUGAAUAACUUCACCCAAACUAUGGCUGAAUGACCAAUACACCAACAUUUUUCAAACAUGUACCAGUUUCAUAAGCUAACUGGUUGGACCUUCAUGGGGACUUGAACUCAAAGAAUUUGACAAUCACAGCUACAGAGCUACUAAUUGCUCAGGUGCCAAGAGGAUUGGAAUGAGCCAUGUACAAUUGCCAUUAUACAUGCUUGUCAUCUUGCUUUCAUCUAAUUUGCUACAACAACAAUCAGGAGAUGACAUACACAGGUAAUAUACAUUUUUUGUGAGAACUCUAUGAAAGUUUUCAAGAGAUGGGAAAGUAUCUGUUUUUAUAAUUUACAUGUCUGUUGGUUUAUUGGUACUGCAAUAACAGACAGUGGCAAACUGUUCACACAAAAAGGUAAAUGUAAGUGGUUAAAUGUUUUGAAAGGUAAAUAAAUCAUACCACUUCAACCACAGCUGCUCCCAUAUUUACAAAAUUACAGACUGAGCAGUUACACAGUCCUACAGUAGACAUACACAAUCAACAUUAUUUUUCUAAUGAAAUGGAUACAAAAAGAAACAAGAAAAACCACAAGAAGGAGACAGCAGGGAAGCCAUACUUAAAAGAUAAGUGGUUAAGUAAACAUGAACUACUGCACAAAGAGAGUGGCUUAUUAAGUCGAAACACUGCUUCAAGGAUGUAAUCCUUAAUAAGUUAAUAUAUUAUUCUUAUUAAGUGCAAUUGGAAAUAAAAUCUUGGUUACAAUUGCAUGACUUGUUUGAAAUUGCCUCCAAUUACAAUGGAUUUGAAUAAAAAUACAGACUAUAAGCAAUUUCCCAUUAACUUCCUAUUCACUGCAAUAAGAGGUGGGUUCAAGCAACCUGUGGCAUUCUCAGUAACAGAAAAAUAAUAACAUCAAAUGCCAUGUGUACCAUAGGUUAUAUCAGGGGUGGGCAAACUUUUUGGCUCACGGGCCACAUUUACUUACCCCCGUGCCGGACCGGGCCAGGGCGGGCAGGGCCAGGCCAGCGUUACACCCCCUUCAUCUCUUUAAUUCCAGUCUCGCGUGAUGAGACUUGGCGUCGGCGGCGGGCCGGAUUAAAAAGGCCAAGGGGCCGGAUGUGGCCCGCGGCCGUAGUUUGCCCACCCCUGGGUUAUAUUCUGGUUUAGCUAUGAUGAUCCUCACUAGACUUACUAAAGAACUUGCAUCUGGAGUAUCUGCUCCAGAUGUAUCUUGGGCAGGAUUUAAAAUCCAGAGCAUGGCACAGGGCAACCUGUCAGCAUCCUACUGAAUGACUUGCAUUACACUAAUACUCACAAUACUUGCUCAAGUGUUCAUAACCCUACAAUACUUGCUCAAAUCUUCAUAACCCCACAUCUCCUAAAUUGAGGUUUUCAAUCAAUUGCUGUUCCCCCUGAGAAAAAAUUACUGGUGCUAUUAGAUAUUGCCUUUAGAAAACAAUACUUUAUAUUAAAUAGAUUCAUUUGGGAACCUUUUUGGACAUGUUAAAAAAUUCCUUAAAUGAUAAAUGAUAAGAUGAAUUUGAAAAUUCAACCCUGAACUGUCCCAUAUUAGUAUU